UUUACUUCUUUAAAUGAAUACAAGUCUUUUUUUUGCCUUUCCGAAUUUGAAAGUGCAACAAUUUCGGGGUUUUAUAUACUGCAAGGGCUGCUUUGUGGAAAAAAAACCUGAUGCUAGAAG
rnacentral:rRNA from 1 species